GACGAACGCUGGCGGCGUGCCUAAUACAUGCAAGUAGAACGCAGUUGCGAACGGGUGAGUAACGCGUAGGUAAAUGCCUGGUAGCGGGGGAUAACUAUUGGAAACGAUAGCUAAUACCGCAUACUACCAGAUGGACCUGCGUUGUAUUAGCUAGUUGGUGGGGUAACGGCGCACCAAGGCAACGAUACAUAGCCGACCUGAGAGGGAGAUCGGGCAAACUUGGAACGGGACACGGGCCAGACUCCUAACGGAGGCAACAAGAGGGGAUCUUCGGGAAUGGGGGGAAACCUGACCGAGCAAAGCCGCGGGAGUGAAGAAGGUUUUCGGAUCGGUAAGCUUUGUUGUUAAGGGAGCGGUACUUAACCAAAAAGGGACGGCUAACUACGUGCCAGCAGCCGCGGUAAUAC
rnacentral:rRNA from 1 species